rnacentral:tRNA from 1 species
ACUCUUUUAGUUUAUUUUUAAAAUAUGACUCUGAAGAAGUUAAGAAAUUUAGGAGUA